AGCGUUGUGCAAGCAGGCUCUGGAGACCCGCAGGCUCCUGGGCAGAGGGCUGCCUUCUGUGUGGGCUUGCCCCUCGCCACACCUGGCCAGGAGCCUCCCCCAGCCCCGUGACCCUUGUGUCAGAGCCUGGCCAGAUGACAGACGGCCUGGGGUGCAGGCGAGACCCACUGAACUGGCAGCUGAGGACAGGUCCAGGCCCAGUGGCUGGGGGACUUCUCAGAGCAGGUACCACAACAGCUACCCAAGGACUCAGGACUUUUCUCCCACAGCCAGACUUGGUGAUUGCAUGAAGGAGCCCAGCCUCGGAUGACCUUUCCCCGUGACAAGGCACUAGGAGAGCACAGACCUCCCCACACAAACAAGUCAGUAAACAAACAAGCUGUCCUUGGAGCAAGCAAGCGCUUCCCUUUCGGCAUCUCCCCCUCUCUGAGCGGCAGCCCUGCAAGCGAGCUGGUGGAUUCAACUGGGACUCAGAAGACUGCACUUGAGGAGAUCAUCGUGAGUUGAAGAUCUCUUGCUUAGUCUCGCAGAAACUUCAUCAAGUCUAGCUCACCUGGGAGUCAGUUGGUGCCGGCGAAUCAAUUCGUGCCAGUGAAAUUCACCAAGAGCCUGAUUUACAAACUAGAGAGCCAUGGCCUUAAUUUUAGAGCAAAAGACAAACUUUUCCAAUGAAUAUAGUUUUCUUGUCCAAUAGCUAGGACACCCCCCUCCACCUGCUGUGUACUAAUGAAGCAGAUUUUUUUUUUUGAGUUUUGCUCUUGUUGCCCGGCUGGAGUGCAAUGACACCAUCUUGGCUCACCACAACCUCCACCUCCGGUUUCAAGUGAUUCUCCUGCCUCAGCCUCCCAAGUAGCUGGGAUUACAGGCAUGUGCCACCAUGCCUGGCUAAUUUUGUAUUUUUAGUAGAGACGGGGUUUCUCCAUGUUGGCCAGACAGGUCUCGAACUCCCAACCUCAGGUGAUCCACCCGCUUUGGCCACCCAAAGUACUGGGAUUACAGGCGUGAGCCACAGCGCCCGGCCAAUGAAGCAGAAUUUUUAGCCAGAUGUGUGUGAUACACCAAACCAAAGUGAAAGGAAUUGAAUGACCCUGGAACUUGCUUCAUCUGAUAGGAUGCAUUAGAUAGAGGCUGAUAGAAUAUCUCUUCCCAGAUGGUGAAUAAACUUUUUCUAGUGACCAACAUGUUUAUGUUCGCUAAACACAAUGUCUUUCUGCUUUGACAGUGCUGGAAGUAACUAUUCUUAACUUCGUCCGCUCUUUUGGCACCCCCGGAGGCUCAGGCCCCUGCUCUUUGCCCAUAGUGACAAGAUGAUGCAUUAUUUGUGGUUAAUCCCAUUUAAGAAGGGCUGCUUCCUAAAGGUAUCUAAGAAAAGACCUUAAUUUCCUUAGUCCUAGAAGUGUGCGAAGCACCCAGUGGCUUAGUUUCUAGUCCCAGCUCUGCCACAUCCUAGCUGGUGUCCUUGUACAGAAUUACUUCACUUCUACAAGCCUCAGUUUCUUCAUUUGUAACCUACUUACUUCUGGUUAAAGGUUGAUCAUCAUGUAGAUAAAAAAUACAAGGCCAGGUGCGGUAGCUCACGCCUGUAAUCCCAGCUCUUGGGGAGGCCAAGGUGUGCAGAUCACAAGGUUAGGAGUUCGAGAUCACCCUGGCCAAUAUGGUGAAACACCAUCUCUACUAAAAAUACAAAAAUUAGCCUGGUGUGGUGGCUGGUGCCUGUAGUUUCAGCUACUCAGGAGUCUGAAGCAGGAGAAUCGCUUGAACCCAGGAGGCAGAGGUUGCAGUGAGCUGAGAUCGCCCCACCGCACUCCAGCCUGGGUGACAGUGCGAGACUCCAUCUCAAAACAAUCAAACAAACAAACAUAUAUAUAUAUAUAUAUAUAUAUAUAUGGGUCGGGCACUGUAGCUCAUACCUGUAAUCCCAGCUCUUUGGGAGGCCAAGGUGGGUGGAUCCCUUGAGCCCAGGAGUUCAAGACCAGCCUGGCCAAACCCCAUCCCUACAAAAAAUACAAAAAUUAACCCAGCGUGGUGGUGUGUGCCUGUGGUCCCAGCUACUUGAGAAGUUGAGGUGAGAGAAUCACUAGAGCCUGGGAGGUUGAGGCUGUAGUGAGCUGUGUUCAUGCCACUGCACUCCAGCCUGGGCAACAGAAUGAAACCCUGUUUCAAAAAAAAAUACUUUAUAGCAACAGAAGGGAACCCUCAUGGAAACUAUGGACUUUGGGUGAUAAUGACAAAUCUGUGUAGAUUCAUUGAUUGUAAGAAAUGUGCCAUUCUGGUGAGGGUUGUUGAUAAGGGGUGCG
rnacentral:lncRNA from 1 species